UUGUUUCGCUCAGGUUAUCAUGGCAACAAACCGUAUCGACAUUCUAGACUCUGCACUUCUUCGACCAGGCCGCAUUGAUAGGAAGAUUGAAUUUCCCCCUCCCAAUGAAGAGGCUCGUUUGGAUAUUCUGAAGAUCCACUCC